UGAACGCUGGCGGCAUGCCUAACACAUGCAAGUCGUACGAAUGAAUUUUGGCUUGCCAAAAUUUAAUGAGUGGCGGACGGGUGAGUAACACGUAAGAACCUACCUUUUGGAGGGGGACAACCACUGGAAACGGUGGCUAAUACCCCAUAGUGCUGAGAGGUGAAAUGAUGAACAAUCGCCAAGAGAUGGGCUUGCGGCUGAUUAGCUUGUUGGUGAGGUAAUGGCUUACCAAGGCAAUGAUCAGUAGCUGGUCUGAGAGGAUGAUCAGCCACACUGGGACUGAGACACGGCCCAGACUCCUACGGGAGGCAGCAGUGGGGAAUCUUGUGCAAUGGGCGAAAGCCUGACACAGCAACGCCGCGUGCGGGAAGAAGGCCUUCGGGUCGUAAACCGCUUUCAGCAGGAACGAAAAUGACGGUACCUGCAGAAGAAGGUGCGGCCAACUACGUGCCAGCAG
rnacentral:rRNA from 1 species